CCCUGUAGCUUGGCGUUGUUCGCGGGGGCCGGUGGGAUCGGAACCCCGUGCUAGACUGAAAACACGAGCCUCUAAGGCUGAGAGGGGUUUAGUGCGGUUGUGCAGGAGCGCCGGCGCGCGCGACUUUUUCUGUGUUGGAGCGAGUUUAAGGAGGCGGCUCUGGGGGGUGAGGCGUUUAGGUGCGUGGCCUCCCCACUCUCGGGUGAGGUAACACAGACCUUGGAGCCAGAUUUGCUGGGUUUGUACCCCAGCCCCAACAGUUAAGCGCUCUGUGGCUUUGGGCAGCUCGGGUAGCAUGGAUCUCAUCAGCACAGAGAGAAAGCUUCACUGAAAACUCAUUGCAGGGCAGAACGUGGAGCUGGAGUGGGAGAGGCAGAUCAGAAAAAGCAUGUGACGAUCACCUUUCUAUUCAGGAGACACUGCAUACAGCCAGUGGAGGUCGCACCCCUUCAACUCAGAUGGCAACAGUGCAGUCAGAGGCCUGCCCUUCCAAGCCUCAGACCCAUGCAGCAGUACGAAUUGAGGUUAAAACACAGAUGCCACUAACCUGCACACCAAAUGGCAUGAGUCAGUGACACCAGCUCCGAGACCUGUUUUGAGCCCAAGCAACCGUCCAAGCCACACGCCUGCUUCUCCCGCUUUCAUGUGCGGACGAUAAUCGUGAUGUCGACAACAACUUGCCAUCAUCUUUCUCUGAACAUUCAUUCAACAAAUAAUUACUGUGCAUCCACUGAGUGCUAUCCCUCCCCGAGGCACUGAGUUGGUUCACUUCUCACUUCUCUGAUGGCUCUUUUUCUGAGAGUUCUGCCAUUUAAAUAAAAUGCGUCUACCACUGAUUGGGGCAGGGAAGCUGGACCGCCCACAGCCCUGCUUAGGGAGGCAGCCUCCAGGAGAAAAGCAGCAGGCUCCCUGCAGUGGCGCCCCCCUCCCCCGAAUCCUUUUAGAAGAUGGGAGACAGAUCAUCUUCUCCUGCUCCAUCGCCAUCAUCAUUGUCAAGGACACCUUCUCCUGAGAAGCCAUUAUCUGCUGAACUUCGGGCCAUUUGUUUGACCGUCAUCAUCUCUGACCCUCACACCAACUCUGAAAACCACACAGUAACUACAGCCCAGCCCAGGGAGGCAACCUUCCCUCCUACAGCAGCCGAGGCGCUCCCCUCAUACCUCUGGCUACACAGGACACACCUCAGCAGCGAUUCCCGUGGCCACGGUGCCCUCACCAUGCAUUCUGGGCCCUGCCAAGGCAGUUACUUUGAUCCUGAAUAGGAGACUCCAGAUCACACGGGAUGUGCAGUUCCUUUUAGGCAGCUGGCAUGAGCUUAGCACAGAUGCCUCCCGGAGCAGGACUGCUUUGCUGCCUCCUGGGAGGUGCAUCAUCAAAACCUCCUGCCCUGACCCACACCGUGACUCUCUCCAUUCGUGCUUCUGGCUGGAGCUACCAGGUAACCGACGUGGGAGUCUAUGACUGCUUCAUUUGGCUCAGAGUUCCUUCUGGAGGAGCUGGCGUCUCAAAGUUGGUUAGCAGUAAGCGAGCCCUGAGGCGCUAGCUAUUAAGGCCUGAAAGGUGGGCACAACUGGGCUGCGGUCUGUGUGGGUGGUCCCCAGGAAGUCCCCUGGCUUCUCUAGGAUUUCGGUUUCUCUCAGGCUGGAAGCAAUCACAUAGUUUUUAGGGCUCCGUUUCACCCCUUUCUUGUCCUGUCCUUAGUGCUUACCAAAUGUCUAUGUGUACAUCUACAUUUUCAGCUUCCUAUGUAGUCAGACUGAGGCCAAAUGACAGAGUGUCAGCUACUAGCCAGUGGGACACAGGCAGCAUUAAUGUACACCACUUCAAGGCUUGGUCCUUAUAAAACCUCCCAGGAGCCUUGCUUCUCUCUUUUCCUCCACUGCUUGGGAACUACACAUUCUAGGCUUACAUCAGACUUUGUGUGAGGAAGAAAUAGAACUAUUAUUGUAUUAAAGCACUGAGCUUUGUUGGUCUAUCUGUUAGCAUAGCAUAGCGUAGCCUAUCCUGACUAAUACAUUUUCUUUUAUUCUGCCUAUUCACUCAUUCAUCCACUCAUUCAGAUGUCAUUCGUUCACUUGAUAUUAAUUAAGUGCCUACUACAGGGCUGGACACUAGUACUUUCGCAUGAAUAUACCUUGGGUUCUUCCCCUGGAGAAGAGGUGGAUAUCUAGGUGAGGAGAUGGAGAUGGGAGCAGAGACAAUGAUAAUACAGUGUGAUAAGUGUGUACAGGGUGCAUAACAUUGUGCUAUGUGCAGAGAAAUAAACAUUCAGAGGCCUUUACCUUUAGAAAACUUCAACUAUACUCUUUCUAGUUUCUUUCUUUAUCCUUUUUUCUAGACAGUGCUCACCCCUGCAUACGUGCCAGUUCUAAAAAAAAACAAAACCAAAAACUGCAUUUACCACCACUCUCUCCUUCCUACCAGCCCACCAUUCCAAAUCCAUCUUCCUGAAGUACCAUUUCUAUAGGUCAUGCCCCCGUCUGAAAAUCAUUCAGGGGGGUCUUUCUUUCAUUGCCCACGUAAGGUCCAAACUCCUUAAUUUGGCAUUGAUCCAGUUCUGAGCUAUCCUUCUAACAUUAUUUUCCUCUUCUCCUUCAACCAGAUUGGCAUAAUCCACGUCCAACAACCCACACCAUUGGUGAUCCCACUCCCAUGUCUUGUCUCACACCACUGUUUGCUCAGAAUUCCCCUCCUUGUCUGCCUAAGUCCCUUUCUCUCUUCAGAGUCCCACCUCAAGUGGUAUCUUUGGUCUUUCUGUCUACCCCAGUCUAUAGUAUUAAUAUAUUCAGCAACUUAGAUGAAACGGACAAUUCCUUGGAAAAAAACUAGCAAGGGACAGAGAAAAGAGAAAUAGUCCUAUGUGUCUUAAAGAAAUUGAAUUCUAAAUCAAAACCUUGCCCACAGAGGAAAUUCCAGGCCCAGAUGGCUUCACCAGUGAAUUCCAUAAAACAUUUUAGGAAGAAAUAAUCCGAUUUACAAAACUUCUUUCAGAAAAUAGAGGAGAACAUUUCCCAAUACAUUGUAUGAAGCUUGUAUAACCUUGAUACCAAAACCUGAUGAAAGACACUUCUAAAACAUCUAUAGCUAACAUCAUAUUUAAUGGUUAAACAUUGGCUGCUUUCUCUAAGAUAGGGAAGAAAUCAAAACAUCUACUUUCACCAGUAUAGUAAGACACAAAGAUACGAAAGGAAGUAGCAAAUACUGUCAUUUUCAGCAAAAUGAUUGUGUAGGUUUAAAACCCUAUGAAAUCUACAAAAACUGCUAGAACUAAAGAGUAAAAUUAGAAAAGUCACUGGUCAAUAUAUUGAAAAAAUCAAUUGUAUUUCUCUCUCUCUCUAUAUAUAUACUAGUAAUCAAAACUUGGAGAAGUAAAUAAAAAGGAAUACCAUUUAUAAUAUUAUCAAA